GACGAACGCUGGCGGCGUGCUUAACACAUGCAAGUCGAACGGUGAAGCGCCUUCCUUUUUGGUGGGUGUGGAUGAGUGGCGAACGGGUGAGUAACACGUGAGUAACCUGCCCCCUUCUUCUGGAUAACCGCAUGAAAGUGUGGCUAAUACGGGAUAUUCUGGGUCUGUCGCAUGAUGGGUCUGGGAAAGAUAUUGUUUCGGUGGGGGAUGGGCUCGCGGCCUAUCAGCUUGUUGGUGGGGUGAUGGCCUACCAAGGCGGUGACGGGUAGCCGGCCUGAGAGGGUGGACGGUCACACUGGGACUGAGACACGGCCCAGACUCCUACGGGAGGCAGCAGUGGGGAAUAUUGCACAAUGGGCGCAAGCCUGAUGCAGCGACGCCGCGUGAGGGAUGGAGGCCUUCGGGUUGUGAACCUCUUUCGCCAGUGAAGCAGGCCUGCCUCGUUUGUGGGUGGGUUGACGGUAGCUGGAUAAGAAGCGCCGGCUAGCUACGUG
rnacentral:rRNA from 1 species